rnacentral:lncRNA from 1 species
GACAUGAAUGGACAGUGAGGUGUUUGCUUCAUUCACAGGCCAGGGGGGCCCCAGAGCAAAGAGGACCUGCAGGCUUGAGCACUUCCCUUCCCUCCUCCUCUUUUGCAUCCCAUGCUGUGCUAGUGCUCCCACCUGGAGGCAGUGAAAUCAACCAACAAGCAGGAAGGCCUUGGAGGACACGUUUGCAUGCCAGCCCUAAGGGAGAGAGAGAAGUGGUAGGCAUGAGACUCCUCCCCUAGGUACCUCUGGCCCUGGAGAGCUCAGGCUGGGGACUCGGGUGCAAGGGGAGAAGGGAGGGUCCUGUGGCUCAGGCCAAACAUGUUCCAGGGGGCCAGCUGGGG